rnacentral:rRNA from 1 species
GGGAAUAUUGGGCAAUGGGCGAAAGCCUGACCCAGCAACGCCGCGUGCACGAUGAAGGUCUUCGGAUCGUAAAGUGCUUUUCUGAGAGAUGAGAAAGGACAGUAUCUCAGGAAUAAGUCUCGGCUAACUACGUGCCAGCAGCCGCGGUAACACGUAGGAGGCAAGCGUUAUCCGGAUUUACUGGGCGUAAAGCGCGUGCAGGUGGUUCGGUAAGUUGGAUGUGAAAGCUCCUGGCUCAACUGGGAGAGGUCGUUCAAUACUACCGGACUUGAGAGCAGUAGAGGGAGGUGGAAUUCCCGGUGUAGUGGUGAAAUGCGUAGAUAUCGGGAGGAACACCAGUGGCGAAAGCGGCCUCCUGGACUGUUUCUGACACUCAGACGCGAAAGCUAGGGUAGCAAACGGGAUUAGA